UACAGAGGUGGCAAGCGUUGUUCGGAAUUACUGGGCGUAAAGGGCGCGUAGGCGGUCUUCUAAGUCUUGUGUGAAAUCCCUCGGCUCAACUGAGGAACUGCACGGGAUACUGGAUGACUUGAGUUCGGGAGAGGGAAGCGGAAUUCCGGGUGUAGCGGUGAAAUGCGUAGAUAUCCGGAGGAACACCGGUGGCGAAGGCGGCUUCCUGGACCGAUUACUGACGCUGAGGUGCGAAAGCGUGGGGAGCAAACAGG
rnacentral:rRNA from 1 species